CUCCAUGCAAUUUGAAAAAUAUUCAUAGGAGCAGCGACUUUUAAGUAGAUAAUGAAGAUGGAAAUUAAAAACAACAUUUCAAAUUAUGAAUGCUACUAAUUAAAGUGAGGAGUGUUAUUCUAAAGAUUCUCACUUUAUUCUGAAGAUUUUUGCUUCUUCAUUCAGGAAGGAAAAUGAGCAAUAUUAUUCACAUAUCUAGCCAAAUGGUAUGGGGUAGAGAAGACAAAAAAUAAUCUAUUCCUAACCUUUUUGAGUAUAACAAUGUUCAUUAUCAAAACUCACUGAAAUAUUAAUAUUUUUGUUAGUUUUCAAAAAUGCUCAAAUUAUUGCAGAUUAUUUUUUUUUUUUAGGGGCUAUGACAAUUUUUAAAGAGAACUUUUAAAACAAAACUACUUUUAAUGAAAUAUAUGACUGAUACGAAAGUAACAAACAUUUUACAGGAAACACAACAUGGUUUUGGGAUCCUGUGCAUUUAAUACAGCCAAAGUGUUCUUGACCAGUACUUCCCAAGUCAUUACAACAAGGAAAGAAAUCUCUCUUCCAGUUGAGCUGUUUGCUGUCUACAUUUGUGACUGUCACCAGGUCAUUGCAAGGAAUUUGUGGCCAGUUCACCUCUUUUCCCAAAGGAAGUACACAAAGCACCACAGGACUGGUUCCUGAAGAUAAGCUCAGCAGUUGUGAAGCUUCCCUCAUAGCAAAUCCAGAAGACGUCACCAAUGGGAUUAUGAUAAAGGUGGAAUGUUCAUGAAUAUCAACAAAAGCCUGAUCUUUGUUUUCUUGCCAAUUGUCUGACACAGACAGAGUUGUGAAAAGCUAAUCAGAGAACUACUCAGGAAAUUGGAAUUUCACUCAUGGACACUUUUGUGAAGAAACAGAAAAAUCUUUUAAGUUUUCUCUGGUGGAUACUUCACACCAUUAAAUGUACAACAAAUUACUUCCUCACAUCUCUUGACUACCUUCCAGCUUAACUGUGUUAAAACAGUAGAGUGCUAAAAUUGUUCUUUGGAGAUGAAGUAGCAUGGUCAUGUUUUGAAGUGCAUAAACAUGUAAUAGCAAAAGUGCUGCAUACCAACAUGAAACAAAUUACUUUUAAAAGGUAAGAUGUUAUAUCCUCUUUUCUUGUUUUUAAAUUUAAAUUUCCCAAAGGAUAACAAAAAAGGAAGUAGAGAAGUUGUCUAUUUUUCUAUAAUGUCCACUUCAAAACCUGAAAUUACAUUUCAGUGAAGUCUUCUUUCCUAAAGUAAUAUUAUCUAGAAAUUAGAUAUUUUUUGUACAAAAGUAUAAUUUUAAAAUAAAAAAUUGUUGUUUCUUGUGUUUUGAUUGGAUGUACACUAUCUGUACUUAGGGGCAUUGCUACUAUUGACUGACUAUAAAAACCGACCAAAACAGAGAAAGCAGAGAAGAGAAAACUUUUGAAGCCUUAGACCAGGAGUGUGCUUUACUUAAAUUAUAAUGAGCAGAAUAGAAGGGUAAUGGUCAGAUAGCACUACAUGGAAAAUCUAGCUUUGUUCUGCAAGCUGCAGUCUUAUGUUUUUUGCAGCCCUGUCUUGAUCUACAGAAGGACCACAGUAUAUUGGAUUUAUGAGAACAGUUCUCAAUACUUUUCUAUUUUUUUUAAAGAUUAAGGAGAUACUACUAGUAUUUGUGAUUGAUGCAAUCUCAUAAUCUCAUCUCUGGACUCACACAUCAAUGACAAAUCUUGGCAGAAAUGCAGCACUGCAAGUUUUCAUUCAGAAAAAUCAGAAAAUUAUUAAGGGGAAAAAAAAUUCUGAAAAUUUUUUUCUGGUUAGUCCAAACUUGUCACUGUAAUGAGUAAAUUAAAAAGCCACAACAAUGUGGCAGAAUUUAAAAUAGAACAUAAUACUAUUAGUUUAGAGAUAUUUGGAAAUAUUAGUAGGGCAUCAUAAAUCUUGAUAUUUUUCUCUCUUUCAUGGCUUACACUCAGAAGAGUAUUUUCCUGAACUGUUUUCAGACCAAUACAGCCAAAGGUUCAGUUGAAUGAGAAAUUUUAGUUUCCAUGUGGUCACUGGUGCCUCACAAGAAAUAACUCUAUGCUGCUGGAAUGUUUUAGAAUAAUGUUUGUUGAAAGCAAGGAUCAAAUUGGGUGUAUGGACAGUUCCCUGAGAAUACCUGUGGGAUGGAGGUUGCAAUGGAAUCACAUUGAUAAGACGUGUGUAGGAGAGGAGAUCACACUGCUGCUGCACACACUCAUUCUCUCUGCUUCACAAGCAUGCAGACAAUUUCUAAGCACAGAAAUGUUAGUUUCAGGAGCUCUGAAAGGCUUCAAUUAGCUUCAUAAGCUCUGCAGGCAACAUUUAGAAAAACAGAGGAAUUUGUCAUUUUUAUAGCCCAGCUGACUCUCGUAAACAAGGUCUACACUACCUGGUGGCUUUCUUUCCUUCUGAUCACUGGCAUUCCUUUUAGCAGACAAUGACAAAAGAGCACAUGAAAAGACUGUAUCCCAAGACCAGAAACUGUGCUCUGAGAGGGAGCAGCAGUGGACGCCGGUUGCUUAAGGAAGUUAUAUAAGAACAAGACAAAUUUGAAUGCCAUAAGUAGCUGAUAAUUACUGGUUUAAGGAUUUCAUGACUUCAGAUAUUUGUAUUUAACAGCCCCUGAGAGAUUUUGCUGGUCUUCCUGUAAAUUUGUCUGAAUCCAUUUCUACCUUUCUUCUUCGUAAUAUCCUGUGGCAAUGACUUCCACAUUUUAAUUGCAAUCAUAUUAAAGAAGUUCUUCACUUGUUUUAAACCUGCUGCUUGAAAAAUAUCACUUGACAACUUCUUGCUCUCUUUGAGAGCUAAUGAAUGAUCAUCACUCCUGAUUUUAUAAACUUUUACUGUAUCACGGCUUUUCCAAAUUGGAAGUCUUAUU